AACCAUCGUUAAACGGCCGCGGUAUCCUGACCGUGCAAAGGUAGCAUAAUCACUUGUUCUCUAAAUAAGGACUUGUAUGAAUGGCCACACGAGGGUUUUACUGUCUCUUACUUUUAAUCCUAU
rnacentral:rRNA from 1 species